UUCCACUAAAUUUCUCUUCUCCUUCGUCCAUUCCCACACAUUUCACCUUCUCCUUCAUCCAUUCCGCACCCUUCUCCCAAAUCUCGUUCAGAAAAAUCCAAACUCAAAUGGUUUCAUCCUUUCCCUGGUAAUUUUUGUCGUCGUGGAGAAGGAUUUUCGUUGUUGCUGAUGUGGCUCGCUUGAAGGAUACGAUGGAGAAACUCUUCAAGUUCACUUGUCUUUUUGGCCAAUGAGGCACGUCGUUUGAAAUAGUCGGAGAUCAGGGAUCUGGGAGAAGAAAGAUCAAAUGGUUUUGACGUUGCUAUGUUUUUCUCCCCUAAGCGACAUUGCCCUGUUGAGAAAUUUAAGAGAGGAAUGUGGAAGUCACAGUUAUUGUGCAUUAUCUAUUUAGUCUUUGAUUUUUUGUUUAAAAAGAUCAUUGGAAAUCGUGAAGUAAACUUGAGUACUGAAGCAGUCUUAUGUGCUUUUUUCAUGCAA